rnacentral:lncRNA from 1 species
UUUAGUUUGUGUUGCUGCUUUAAAAUUUGUUUGGAUUGAGAUUUGCAAUAUCGAGCUGAUGGUGAUCAUUUUGAGGCUUUUGGUUGAGGAUUUCGGACUUUGGUUUUCAUCGAUUCAUUAUUAUCAGUGAAAAUCUGCUCUCUUGAGGUCCAAUUCUACUCCUUUCAUCUUUUAUUUCAUUAUUGGUGAUGUUUGAUGUGUUGGAUUGAAUAUCUUAAUUGCUUGUGUGUGAUGUGAAUGUUGAAUAUUGAUUUUACAGUAAUUGUGGAUUGUUGAAAAUAGUGGUGUGAAUUAUUAUGUUUGAUCUUGGUUUAAAAUUAAAUUGGGGUAGGAUUGAGAUUUGAAAAUUGAUAAAAUAAAAAAAAGCAAGCUUUAAUUUAUUUUUGAAUCAUUGCUGACGUUGAAUGUGAUAAUGCCAUGAUAGAUAGAGCUCAUGUAGGAAAACAUAGGUUGGGUACGCAAACUUAGGAAUGGUGAUUUGUGAAUGUGUAAUGUGAUUGGUUCGUUCUACUUUAUCACACACAUAGUUGAAAUUGUACUCAUUUGGCCAGGGAAUGCCCCGAGUAUUUGUAUUGAUUUAACCAGGGAAUACCUCGAAGUAUCAUGUACGCAAAAGAGGUCCGUGAUCAAGGCCUGAGGAAUCGGGUAAAGCAUUGGAGCGUAGUUUAGGACUAGCUUAGAAUAGGAUUUAUAUUUUUUUCGCAUUUUUCUAUUUUGGACUGUAUAAUUGGACUAGACAUUAUUAUUUUAGUUUUGGACUGUUGUUUGAUGUGUUUGUUGCUUGUUUUAUGUGUUUGAUAUGGUUUAUAUAAUUUUUAGUGUCAAAUUAGCUGAUAUGCUUCACCAAGCUACCGUGGUUGAACCACGGGAUAGAGGGGUGCCUAACACCUUCCCCUCGGUCAACAGAAUUCUUUAACCGAAAUCUCUGUUCGCGAAUUAUUUUAAAAGAGUCAAAAACAGUUUUGAUAAAGGAUUUCCAAAGGUGACUUGACACACCCAAUUAUGCCAAGUGGCGACUCUGAGUUUUGAUUGUUAAAAGUCCUUUUCGAAACAAAUUUCAUCUUUCGUCACCUCAAUAAUAAAAACCCUUUUCAAAUUUAAAAUUUAUCUUUUUGGGUAAAAAAAAGGGUGUGACAGCUCUGGCGACUCUGCUGGGGAUUUUUUUAGAAUUUGAGCUUAUUUUUGGAGUUGUAUUGGCUUAGUUUUACAUUAUGGGUAUAUAGACAUUGUUUGUAUUAUCGUUCUUAUUUGUUUUAUACUUGUUGAGUUCCUACGUGCUACGUGUUUACAGUCUUUCUUCUUAUGUGUUACCGUUUUAUAUCUAGCAUCAUAUGCAUAACCCGAGUCAUUUUUUCUACAACAAGUCCGUAGUACACGUAUUGUACACGACCUUUAGUUGAGUCACUCUUAUUUUAGGAGGGGGAGCCGUCGGUGUUAUGGAGUGGGUGGAAAGCUCUCGCAGCCACUAUCGACCAUACACUCCCCCGAACAGCCUUGUUAGUGAACCCCAGCGUAGGUCAGCCUUUAGGUCAUGCUUAUCCGCAUCAUAUUGAUACCUAGCGGAACCCAUGUGGCCCUUUGUAGGAGACUCACCUCUAAUGCAUCCCUACGUGCUAAAUGUUACAUCUCUGAGGGUAAUGUGGUCAUUUAACAGAUUGGUUUGGGGAAAAACAUGUGUUAGAAGUAAAGUGCGUAGGCAAUAAAAAAUCAAAAAAAAAGAAGAAAAAGUGAAUCGAAAAGAAAAAAAAGAGUUUCGUAGUUUUUAGAGUUCUUUAUGGCUUUUGAUUUUUCUUCAUAAUCCAAAAAAUCAAAAAGAGUUUUACAUUUUGCACUCAUUUUCUAAAAACAUCAAAAGGAUUUUCCUUUUUUCCCUUUAUCAUGCAUUCAUAAUUCAAAAAUUUUAAAAAGACUUUUUUCCAAAUAGGAGCUUUUUAUAAAAGGAAAAUUCAAAAAAGAUGGUAGAAGUUUUGUACAUUUCAUAUAAUGAAAAUGCCAAAAAGAUUUGUUCUUUCGAAGUUGUUGGUGUCAGUUUUAUGUGAAGUGUCAAAUUUAAAACUCAAAUAAGAUUUUAUUGAGGUUUUUCCUCAUCUGUUUGUGGUUGUAUCUCUUAAGUCAGGGUACAUUUGGUUAUUAAAUCUUUAAUUGUCCAAUCUAGAUGAGCUACGCACCCCUGAUUCUCCUCUUUCGGGAGUGAGAUACGUAGGCAGCCUAUUGUUGGUUCGGGGAUCUUAUUUAAAAAACUUAAAAAGAUUUUCUUCACUCUUUAUUAGAGUAGGUGUCAUAUAUAUCUCUAAAAGAAAAUCACAAAAAAGAUUUUCCUUUAAUAGUUUAAGUUUUAUUUUCGUAUGAAAUUCAAAAUUGAAAACCCCAAAAGAUUUUUUUUUUUGGUAAUCAUAGGUUUCAUUUUGUAUAGAAAUUUGAAAUAUGCAAAAAGAUUUUCUUCACUCUUUAUUAGAGUAGGUGUGUCAUAUACAUCUUUAAAAGAAAACUACAAAAAGAUUUUUCUUUAAUAGUUUCAAGUUUAAUUUUCGUAUGAAAUUCAGAAUUGAAAAUUCAAAAAGACUUUUCUUUGGUAAUUAUAGGUUCUAUUUUGUGUAGGGAUUUAAACAUGAAAAAUGCAAAAAGAUUUUUGCUAAUUCUUUUGACAAUUUGUUAUUUUCUUUUCUUUUUAAAGUUUCAACUAAAAAUAAAAGAAUGAAAAAAGAGUUUAAUUGGCCAUUUUUGGCAAAAUUUCACGAACUACGCACACCUGAUUCUUCUCUCUCGGGAGUUAGAUACGUAGGCGCCCUUCUAGGUUUCGGUGAUCUUUUUCAAAGAAAAGAAAAAAUCAGAAAAGAUUUUGAGAAGGUGUUAAACUCUAACACGUUUGUUAUCUCUUAUUCAGUUAGUUUAAGGUGGUUGGUUUGUGGUAUUUUGGAGUCCUCCACAUCACACCAAAUCUAAGGAAAGGUUAAUUGUGUCCAACAAGGAUAUAGAGAGUGACAUCAUAGAUCAAACAAAGAGUCAGGAAAAUGAGAGUUUAAAGUAAGAGAUUAGGAGAUUAAGACAACAAAUGGAUUAAAUGCACCGAGCUUGGUCCAGUGGACUGCCUCCUCCUCUAUUCCCCGCUAUUGAUCCUACAAAUACCUCAAGUUUUUCAUUAAAAUUGCAAAGUCAGUUUCCUAUGGUUGUUGAUGCACUGCAACAUGACUCAGAAUUCAUUUCAAGCCAAAAGCAUCCCAAUAAUUCCCCCACUUUUUCUCUAGCUCCUCAGUAUAAGCCUAUUGCAUUCAUAAUACCACAUGUCGUCAGUGAUUUUGUUGCUCAAUCCUCUGCUGAGACAUCCACAUUAGCUAGUAUACCCACGUUCGAUACUCUUGAUGAUCAUUGCUAUAUUCUUGAGCCUACAGUUAAGUUAAGUGGACCGCCAAAAUUUCUUACCAAGAAGCCUUGCAUGCCAGAAAAUCCAGAGAAAAUAGUGGGGAAAGUGAAGAGUGUAGAAAAUAAUAUGAAAAGUUCCUCGGGACUUGUGGGAUGUGAAGAUAUUUCAUAUAAAAUUAGGGCAUGUUUUCAAGUGUUAACCUUCCUCCAAGAUUGAACACGUCAAAAUUUGGGGAGCCUGAUAGACAGAAGGAUUCUGUGAAACAUUUAGGAUGAUAUUGUAAUCAAUCAAGGAAAACUGAAGAAAAGGAGAUGGAAAAUGCACCUAUUGUCAUACCAGGGCCAAAACAGAGUUUAAGAGGUCCAAUCCACCAAUACUGUCAGCCUCAAUCCCGAUCUUACAUAUUAGAUCCACAUAACCACUUGCAACAAGGUUCCUUUCUCUAAAAUCCAAGAAAUCUCAUUUCACUUUCUCAACAUCCUUUGAAUAAUGCACAGUCGUAUGCUCAUCCACUCCUUAUCCACAAUGGCGUACCCCGAUCCCUCAAUGUCAUCCUCAACCCCCACAAGUUUACCGAGAAACCUCUAAAUCCAAGUUUCAUGCAAGGCCAGAGUUUGGAAUAAGGAGAAAGGCAAAGGAUAAUUUCACGCCAAUUGGGGGGGUCCUAUGCCAAUUUGUUCCAAACAUUGAGACAAUGAGGCAUGAUUGCUCUUAUCCCUGGGUAUACUCCCAAUCCACAGUCAAAAAAUUUUGAUCCUACUGCACGAUGUGUUUAUCAUUCUAAUAUUCAAGGUCACAGUACUAAAGAUUGUUGUAUUUUGAAAAGAAAAAUAGAGAAGAUGAUUUAAGAAAAAUUGAUUGUGGUGCAAAACAUUGGCCCCUCAACCGUCCCGUAGAGUUCUUCACCAGCACGUAGUACUGCACAAUAUAUGGGAGGAAGUAAGUUAAGCAUGGGGAUCUAGAACUUAUUCGUUGAAGGGAAUAUGUCUGACAGUGGUGGAAGCUCUAGUCAUGCUGAUAUGCAAAAUAGUGACUAAUAUGUCAGGCUGAGUAAUUGAGAAGUCACCCCUCUCCCUACUAGGAAGAGGUCUGGUAGUUUGGUUUGUUUUAUUUUUUGUUAUCCGAAUUAUCAGGGUUGUAGUUUGGAAUCUAUCUUAGUGUAUCCCUUUGUCGUUAUGUUCAAACCCUUCUAUCUUUUAUUUUAAUUAAAUGGAGUGUCCCUUUUUCCUUUAUGUUUUAAAUUUGUGUUGUUUGUUUGUUUUCUUUACAUAGAACAUUUUAUGUUGAUUCUAGUGAUAUGACAUGCUAGGAAAAUUUUUAGCCAGAUCUUAAAAUCCAAUUUAACCAUGAAACAUUGAAUCAGAGGGCCAAAGUUAGAAAAAUAUCUGAGAUAAUAGGUAGAGUGCUGAGAUAUUUGGUGACAAGUUGAAGCCUUCUUUGAAAAUUAAGGCAAUUAUUUUGAGAAUCACAAGAAUAACUUGGUCAUCAAUUGAAAGACAUGUCUCAAUUAGGUCAUAUAGUGGCUGCGUGAACAGAAAGAAAAUCGAUCCUACAAAAUAAUGAGUCAUUCAAUGUGAGGAAUGUACAACAAAAGUGGAGUUAUAUACUGAACAAGUGCAAAAGAAGUAGUAAUGCAUAGGCUUAGUUAAGUUAGUGCUGUAAAUGAUUUUACAAAUGAUCUUCAUCAUUCACUUUCAUAUUGCAUGAUAUGUACUUCCAUUUUCAAGGAUUGAUAUGAUGAAGACAUUUCAUUCUGCUAUCUGAACAUUGUGUCAUUCUUUGUUUACCCUAUUUGAGCCUUAAUUUUAUUUUCUUUCAUACUCUUCUUUUGGAAUCAAGAUAGAGCCAACAGAACUCAAAAGAAAGGUGUCGAGCAGACAAAUAGAGUCAGAAAAAUAUCAAAAAAUAAAAAAAGAAAAAAUUAUGUCAAAAGAAAGAAAAGAAAAGAGUGUCAAGAAAAUAGAGUCAGAGAAAGUUUCAAAGAGAAAAAGAGUCAACAAACCAAAAAAAGAAACCAGAAUCAAGCAAAAAAAUAAGCUGUCGAAACUAUGCGUGGCCUAUUCUCCUCUUUCGGGGGUGAGAUACUGUAAUGCCCCAAUUUUCUGAAUCAAAAUGCUACACGGUGCUCAUGACCCCGAAGGACCACAAGCUAACCCAUGACUAAUAUCUGUACCUAUAAAUUGCGUAAUAUCUCAUAAAAUAUGCAGAAACAUGAACUGUAAGGCCAUAAGGUUCAAUACUGAUACAUAUCUGAAAAACAUGGUAUAACAAUACCAAAAAGUAACAUAAAUACUGAAGUCUGAACAUCUAAUCUGACAUCUAGUCCGAAAUCCUCUAACUGAUGCUAAGAUACUGAAUGAUUGAGUUUACAUAUAUUGAGAUAUUGAAUGACUGAGUUUACUAAUAUUGAUAUGUAAUUUACUAAUAAGUGAGGAACUAAUACUGUAUUACUGAAUACUGGGAGACUGAUACUAUAUUACUGAUAAAGGAAUGAUUAUUUCUGAUAGUUCUGAUUAUGAAAAACUAAUUUGAUUGACCGUAUAUAACAGUCCUGAAAUUGAGCUCGUGAUAACAUGACUACUGAGUAUGAAUACUGAUGACAUGUAUUUACUGAUAACAUAUCGUGAAUGAUAACUGAAUUUUGAUAACUGAUAUAUCUGACAACAUGAGUUUUGAUAACUGAUAGCAUGAAUGACUAUAUCUGACAGUCCUAAAUCUGAUGGAACUAGCUGAGUUUUGUACUGUAUCUGAGUUGACUGUAUCUGACAGUCCUGAUAUCCUGAAGAACUAUCUGAGUUCUUUUACUGAGAUUGAUACUAAAACUAUGGGAAGUAGUUAUCUAACUGACAUGCCCCAAAUACGCUAUAAUAGCUAAGCUGGGGUCCAAUCUCUGCCCUGAUUGAAAGGGUGUCUAUACCACGCCACUGGUAAGGACAAGCUGUGAGUGACCCUCAUCUGGCAGGUACUCUAAUGAGAAAGAUGGGAACCCUCAUCUGACAAGUUAAGCCACCUCAUCUACCCUCAAAUGACAGGUAUUGAUGUCUCAACCUAUGCUGGCUACAUAGUUCUAGAACGCAAGGACUGCUUCUAAGAAUCACACCCUCUACUGGCAGGUGAGUUCCCAUCGUUGGGUUCGCUCGGUGUCGAAUCCUACUCCCAAUUGAAUGACACUGAACUGAUUAUACUGAAUUAAUUUUCUAGUUCAUACUAGAAUUAACUGAACUGACUGAUUGUUCUGUUUAACUGAACUGAACAUGGAUUGAGUUUAUUGAGUUUGAUGACUAGUGGAACACUACUGAAUUCUGUACACUGACUAAAUGCUACUGAGUUCUGUUAGCUGACUGAAGUCUACUGAACAUGGCUUGACUGAGAGUAUCGUGAAAACAUGAUAUGGAUCUAGCCACACAACUAUAUUUUUUGGGCACGAAUACCCCCAAGACUCGAUGGAAAGAAACUGACAUAACAUACAAGAGUACUUUACCAACAUCAACAAUCCAUAAUACAGCAUCUACGGGGAAUUCAUAAAUCAUGUGGUUUUCAUAACCUUUUCAUAUAGCUGACAUCAUGGUCAAUUCUAAUAUCAUGACAAGCCAACAACAUAUUUAUAGCACAUUAAUAGCAUAGAAAUCAUCUUGAUCGAGUAGACAUGGCAUAACUUAAGAGACAUGGCAAAAUCUUGGAGCAUGNNNNNNNNNNNNNNNNNNNNNNNNNNNNNNNNNNNNNNNNNNNNNNNNNNNNNNNNNNNNNNNNNNNNNNNNNNNNNNNNNNNNNNNNNNNNNNNNNNNNUUUAGCAUGGGAGUCAACUUAAGCACAUGGAUAUGGCAUGGAAUCAUCAUUUAGAUCACAAAUAGGUAAAAGUGCUCAAUUUUUCUUCACUUAGGCAUUUUAACAAACACCUUCCAUGCACUAUUUAGGGCAUAGGCCUAAUGAUCAAUUUUAUACACCAUAACACCAUAAUUCAACUCAAUUCCACCAAUUGAAUCCACAAAAUAUCAUUGUAUCAUGAACAACAUGUAAAGAUUCAAACUUUAUUCACACAACAUGGAAUUCACGUGAAAUCAUAAAACAUGGAGUAAGGACUUGUUAAUUGAGCACUCUUAAAUCAUGAAAACAUGAUUAUGCCUAUUCUAGGCAUUUCGUCGAACACCUUGCAUGCACACUUUAUAGAAUAGGUGUUCUUAAUAAUUUAGUCAUCUCAAACCACCUAAUUUCAUGAGUUUUAACUACAAGCACACAUACUUCAAGAGAAUCACCCUAAAUUAACAUCUUGAAGUAUAAACAACAAUCAUCAACAUGUACAUGAUCAUAUCUCAACAAGACAAUCACAAUAUAGUAUUUAAAGCAUGGUUCUUGGACUCCUACGGAUGAAAGGAAUCCAUGGAUGAACACUACGCAUACCUUAGGUGGAAGAUUCUUGAAGAAAUUCUUAGAUAUGUUCUUGAUUCCUUGACUAGGAUUCUUGUUCCUUUGAGAGAAAAUAAAUUGGCUCUUGAGUUUGAAAAACUUGAAUAUCAUAUAUUCUUGAAAAAGGAUUUGAUUCUUGUUAUAGGUUAUGAUCUUGAGAGAAAUCCUUCUUUUGAUGUUGAAGAUAAAUGAGGAGUUAUGUUCUUCAAUUGAUGGGAUUUGGGUUUUCAAAUUGAAACCCUAGCUUGAGUUCUUGAGAGAAUUUUGAGAAAAGGAGUAUAUUUUGCUGCAAAUAAUCCUUAAUCCUGUGUUUGGGGUAUAUAUAGGGAUGGAAGAUGACCAAAAUACCCCUAAGGAACAAUUAAGGUCAAAUCUGUCCCUAAUUGACUGUCUGAUAGUGCUGAAGUAAAUUGAUCAUAACUUUUUAUUUAGAUGUCCAAAUGGGAUUAAAAUAAUUUCAUUAGAAAGAAGACUCAAAUAUCUUUCCAUUUAUAUAUAGAAGAUCUCAAAGUUCAUUAUAUAUUGGGAGUUAUGAUCGUUUGAAAUUGACCCUGAAAUACUAAAAAGACUGGGCAAGAACUGGAGUUAGCAGGCUGCGCGAGCUAAUCACCCGAGGCUUCUAUUUUGGGUACCCAAACAUGCCUUUACGCUACUCCAAAAAGUUUUAAAUGCACCCGGGAUAUACUACAUGUUUUCCCGAUCGUAACUCAACUUGAAAAUUGAAAGUUUGGAGGUCUAAAAUAAGACUAAGUGUUGAAUCUUGAACACUUAGCAAAAUUUUUUAAGUCUUGAGAUCUUUCAUGGAGCUUUACGAGCUGAAUUUGACAUGCGAUUUUAUGGGGUAUUACAGAUACGUAGGCUGCCCUACUCUGGGCUCGGUCCAACCAAAUAAACAGUUUAGAAUUUCUCAGUCAAAAGAAACUGGGGCAUGAGUUAAUCCUUAUUGUUUGAGUCGAUUCCAAAAGUUGUAAGUCCUACCCCAUUUUAAGUGUCGUUUGGGCCUCAUGCUAUCCUUUCUUUCUAACCCUAUCCAAAAUUCAAGUUACAACCAAAGAAAGACAUUCAGAUCAAUAUUUGAGAACGUUAAGGCUAAGCAUGCAAUGGAUAUGAUAAUGCAUUUUGGGAACUGCUAGUCUUUCUCAGCAUAGGGAAUCAAGAAAGAAAUAAAAAUGAGAGAGUCUUAUUGGUGAAAACCCUCUCGGGCACUGUAAGACAACAAUGAGUUAAGAGAAAUGAAAAUAAGAGAGUCUCAUUGAUGAAAAACCCUCACGGACACCGUAAGAAGAUGAUGAGCUAAGAGAAAAAUGAGAGAGGCUUGUUAGAGAAAGCCCUUCAAGGUGUCAUUAGCCGAAUGAGGUCUUAAAUGCAAUUGACCUAAGGAAAUAACUUAGUUUCAUGGCCAUUAACUCAAGAAUAAUUGGUAGAAAGUUUGAAUGGAAAGAUAAGACAACUUAAUCUAAAAUGCAUGGCAUAAUCAUUAGAGUUGACUGUCAUUUUUAGAUAAAUUUUUUGUUUCUUUAUUUCAAAUAGGGACAUUCAUUGUCUUUUCUUUCUUCUCUUUACUUCUAUUUUAUUUUUCUUGAGUCAGUUAUCCAAAUAAAAAUUAUUGUCAUUUAUUCUCUUGUCUUUGAGUCAAGUCCAUGUCAAAACAAGUGAGAAAAGAUUUCAAAACUGACUACCAGCUUCUCCAAUUGCAUAAAGCAAGACAAAAGCCAAUACAUAAAAGAGACAUGAUUGUGAGCCCAAAUAAGGCCAACAGACAGUUUUGUCAACAGACAAAUCUGGGAACUUAUGGAAAUACCAAGGUUCAAAGGGUUUAUCUGAGAAGCAUGGUAAAGCAGAAAUACUGUAUUUAUUUUAGAGUCACACUUAAUAAUCAGAGUUCGGAUCAAUGAUGCAGCGAUUCAAUGAUAUAUGCUAAUGGUUGAAAGCAAGAUUAAAUGUGACAGGGGCAAGAGCGAUUGUUGCGAAAGCUAAAGCCACAAACCAGCCAGCGUGUUUUUAAACUCACAAGUUUUCUUUGAUGAAAUAGGAAAUAUGUUACCUUCAAAUCAAGGACUUCAGAGUCUAAAUAUCAAAGGUUGUAAUGCCUCACUUCCACAAAUGCAGGAGACAAUGUUGCUGCACAGGUUUGGUAAUCAAACCAUGGUAAAAACUCAUCAUCCAAUGUCUCUAGGAGACACACUUCCUUGUCCAGAUGAUUCAAGUCCAUUUAUUAGGUGAUGCACUUCCUAAAUUGAACCUUCACUCCUUGAAGUCGCACUUUCUAGUUGAGUCCUUCCACUUAACCCCUAGGAGAUACACCUCCUUAUCUGAGUAAUCCAGGUUUCAUUUAUUAGAUGAUGCACUUCCAAAAUUGAAGCUUCACUCCUAGAAGUCGCACUUUCUAGUUGAGUCCUUCCACUUAGCCCUUAGGAAAUGCACCUCCUUAUUUGAGUAAUCCAGGUUUCAUUUAUUAGGUGAUGCACUUCCUAAAUUGAACCUUCACUCCUAAAAGUCACAUGUUCUAGACGAGUUAUUCUACUUGACCCUUAGGAGACAUACUUCUUUGUUUGAAUAAUUUAAGAGACAUUUUUAAGGAGACACACUUCUUUGUUUGGGGAAAUUCAAACAACAUUUAUAAGGAGACAACCUCCUUGUUUGGGGAAUUCAAAAGACAUUUGUGAGGAAACGCACUUCCUUGUUUGGGUAAUUCAAAUGACAUUUGUGAGGAGACACAUUUUCUUGUUUGGGUAAUUCAAGCAGCAUUUGUGAGGAGACGUACUUCCUUGUUUAGGAAAUUCAAGCAGUAUUUGUGAGGAGAUGUACUUUUUUGUUUGGGCUAUUCAAGGACAUUUGUGAGGAGACACACUUCCUUAUCUGGAUAAUUCAAGCAACAUUUAUAAGGAGACGCACUUCCUUAUCUUGGUAAUUCAAGUGGUAUUGGAAAGGAGAUGAACUUUCUUGUUUUGAUAAUUCAAUCAACAUUGGUAAGGAGAUGCACUUCCUUGAUUGGGUAAUUCGAAUUUUGCUUUUUAGGUGAUGCACUUCCUAACUUAACUCUUGAUUCUAAGUAGAUGUGCUUCCUAGUUGAGUCAGUCCCCUUGAUUUCUAUUAGAUGUACUUCCUGGUUGAGUCAGUCCCCUUGAUUCCUAGUAGAUAUACUUCCUAGUUGAGUCAGUCCCCUUGAUUCCUAGUAGAUGUACUUCCUAGUUGAGUCAGUCCCCUUGAUUCCUAGUAGAUGUACUUCCUAGUUGAGUCAGUUCCCUUGAUUCCUAGUAGAUGUACUUCCUGAUUGAAUCAGUCCCCUUGAUUCCUAGUAGAUGUACUUCCUGGUUGAGUCAGUCCUCUUGAUUCCUAGUAGAUGUCCUUCCUAGUCGAGUUAGUCCCCUUGAUUUCUAGAAAAUGCACUUUCUAGUCGAGUCAUUGCACUUAAUCCUUAGGAGACACACUUUCUUGCUAGUUUUCAUUUGUCAGGUGACAUACUUUUUAACUUAAACUUGUACCUUUAGAAGACGCACUUCCUAGUCUUGAUCAUUCAAUUUUAUUCUCAAGAGAUGCAUUUCUUAGUCAGAGUCCAGAUUCAUCAUUGUAACAUACAAGUAGGUAUGAUGUGACUUUCCCAAAAGUCUUUUGAUGAUAAACUGGGGCAAAAAAAUUUAAUUUCUAUUUUUGGAACUUUACUCUGCUGGCAAAUGGAAUUUCUCUUUUAAAUAAUUUUUUUUUGAAAUAAUUUUCUUUCUAAUUUCGAUGUGAUUUCAGGAGCCCACCUGAAGAACAGGCCGAAUAAAUGGAAAGUCAAACAACAAGGUGAAGAAUUUGAAAGUCAAGA